rnacentral:sRNA from 1 species
UGAAGGCGUUGCAGAUCGUUAAGUCUCA